rnacentral:rRNA from 1 species
CCUACGGGUGGCUGCAGUCGGGAAUUUUGGGCAAUGGGGGAAACCCUGACCCAGCAACGCCGCGUGAAGGAUGAAGUAUUUCGGUAUGUAAACUUCGUAAGAAUGGGAAGAACAAAUGACGGUACCAUUUGUAAGCCCCGGCUAACUACGUGCCAGCAGCCGCGGUAAUACGUAGGGGGCAAGCGUUGUUCGGAUUUACUGGGCGUAAAGGGCGCGUAGGCGGCGUGACAAGUCACUUGUGAAAUCUCCGGGCUUAACUCGGAACGGCCAAGUGA